GAUGAACGCUGGCGGCGUGCCUAAUACAUGCAAGUCGAGCGAACGGACGAGAAGCUUGCUUCUCUGAUGUUAGCGGCGGACGGGUGAGUAAAACGUGGAUAACCUACCUAUAAGACUGGGAUAACUUCGGGAAACCGGAGCUAAUACCGGAUAAUAUUUUGAACCGCAUGGUUCAAAAGUGAAAGACGGUCUUGCUGUCACUUAUAGAUGGAUCCGCGCUGCAUUAGCUAGUUGGUAAGGUAACGGCUUACCAAGGCAACGAUGCAUAGCCGACCUGAGAGGGUGAUCGGCCACACUGGAACUGAGACACGGUCCAGACUCCUACGGGAGGCAGCAGUAGGAAUCUUCCGCAAUGGGCGAAAGCCUGACGGAGCAACGCCGCGUGAGUGAUGAAGGUCUUCGGAUCGUAAAACUCUGUUAUUAGGGAAGAACAUAUGUGUAAGUAACUGUGCACAUCUUGACGGUACCUAAUCAGAAAGCCACGGCUAACUACGUG
rnacentral:rRNA from 1 species